rnacentral:lncRNA from 1 species
CAGCCGUACUUCUUCUGGAACGCGCUACAGUCAACCCUCAGCAGACGCCAACAAGGACCUUUCAGUCUCAAGCCAUCGCAACCAUCGGGGUUCCAGCCGUACCCCUCCAAGAGAAGCCAUGAACGAG